AAGGUGUUUGGAGGCAUCUGAAUGGGAAGCUCAGAAUUGUUUUGCUUAGUUUUAGACACCCAGCACUAUCAGGUGGCUGAUCUCUCUGGGUUUCCUCUCCUCCAGAAGGAAUGCUCAAGUGCUGCCAGCUUGCAGAGACAAUAUUGCAACAUCCUUUUACAGUCUCUUCACGGCCCAGAAGGAGGAAAGAAAAUGAAGAAGAGAACAAAUAUUAUGGCAUCCUUGCUUUCCUGAGGCUGGUAAUCCAGCCAGUUGCAGUCUCAGCCUCUAAGAGCUCAGUUUUCCCAGUAGCUUUAGGAAUAUUUCCUGCAGGCUUGCCUCUCUGAU
rnacentral:lncRNA from 1 species